GAUGAACGCUGGCGGCGUGCCUAAUACAUGCAAGUCGAGCGAACGGACGAGAAGCUUGCUUCUCUGAUGUUAGCGGCGGACGGGUGAGUAACACGUGGAUAACCUACCUAUAAGACUGGGAUAACUUCGGGAAACCGGAGCUAAUACCGGACGAUAUUUUGAACCGCAUGGUUCAAAAGUGAAAGACGGUCUUGCUGUCACUUAUAGAUGGAUCCGCGCUGCAUUAGCUAGUUGGUAAGGUAACGGCUUACCAAGGCAACGAUGCAUAGCCGACCUGAGAGGGUGAUCGGCCACACUGGAACUGAGACACGGUCCAGACUCCUACGGGAGGCAGCAGUAGGGAAUCUUCCGCAAUGGGCGAAAGCCUGACGGAGCAACGCCGCGUGAGUGAUGAAGGUCUUCGGAUCGUAAAACUCUGUUAUUAGGGAAGAACAUAUGUGUAAGUAACUGUGCACAUCUUGACGGUACCUAAUCAGAAAGCCACGGCUAACUACGUGCCAGCAGCCGCGGUAAUACGUAGGUGGCAAGCGUUAUCCGGAAUUAUUGGGCGUAAAGCGCGCGUAGGCGGUUUUUUAAGUCUGAUGUGAAAGCCCACGGCUCAACCGUGGAGGGUCAUUGGAAACUGGAAAACUUGAGUGCAGAAGAGGAAAGUGGAAUUCCAUGUGUAGCGGUGAAAUGCGCAGAGAUAUGGAGGAACACCAGUGGCGAAGGCGACUUUCUGGUCUGUAACUGACGCUGAUGUGCGAAAGCGUGGGGAUCAAACAGGAUUAGAUACCCUGGUAGUCCACGCCGUAAACGAUGAGUGCUAAGUGUUAGGGGGUUUCCGCCCCUUAGUGCUGCAGCUAACGCAUUAAGCACUCCGCCUGGGGAGUACGACCGCAAGGUUGAAACUCAAAGGAAUUGACGGGGACCCGCACAAGCGGUGGAGCAUGUGGUUUAAUUCGAAGCAACGCGAAGAACCUUACCAAAUCUUGACAUCCUUUGACAACUCUAGAGAUAGAGCCUUCCCCUUCGGGGGACAAAGUGACAGGUGGUGCAUGGUUGUCGUCAGCUCGUGUCGUGAGAUGUUGGGUUAAGUCCCGCAACGAGCGCAACCCUUAAGCUUAGUUGCCAUCAUUAAGUUGGGCACUCUAAGUUGACUGCCGGUGACAAACCGGAGGAAGGUGGGGAUGACGUCAAAUCAUCAUGCCCCUUAUGAUUUGGGCUACACACGUGCUACAAUGGACAAUACAAAGGGCAGCGAAACCGCGAGGUCAAGCAAAUCCCAUAAAGUUGUUCUCAGUUCGGAUUGUAGUCUGCAACUCGACUACAUGAAGCUGGAAUCGCUAGUAAUCGUAGAUCAGCAUGCUACGGUGAAUACGUUCCCGGGUCU
rnacentral:rRNA from 1 species